GGAAUUUUCCGCAAUGGGCGAAAGUCUGACGGAGCAACGCCGCGUGAGUGAAGAAGGCCUUCGGGUUGUAAAGCUCUGUUUUUGGGGACGAAUGUUAAUGACGGUACCUGAGGAGGAAGCCACGGCUAACUACGUGCCAGCAGCCGCGGUAAUACGUAGGUGGCAAGCGUUGUCCGGAAUUAUUGGGCGUAAAGCGCGCGCAGGCGGGAUAUCAAGUCCAUCUUAAAAGUGCUGAGCUUAACUCAGUGAGGGGAUGGAAACUGGUAUUCUUGAGUGUCGGAGAGGAAAGUGGAAUUCCCAGUGUAGCGGUGAAAUGCGUAGAUAUUGGGAGGAACACCAGUGGCGAAGGCGACUUUCUGGACGAUGUCUGACGCUGAGGCGCGAAAGCCAGGGAAGUGAACGGGAUUAGAUACCCCUGUAGUC
rnacentral:rRNA from 1 species